UACAGAGGGUGCGAGCGUUUGUUCGGAAUUAUUGGGGCGUAAAGGGCGCGUAGGCGGUGCGGUAAGUCACCUGUGAAAUCUCCUGGCUCAACUGGGAGCUUGCAGGCGAAACUGCCGUGCUGGAGUGUGGGAGAGGUGCGUGGAAUUCCUGGUGUAGCGGUGAAAUGCGUAGAUAUCAGGAGGAACACCUGUGGCGAAAGCGGCGCACUGGACCACAACUGACGCUGAGGCGCGAAAGCUAGGGGAGCAAACGGG
rnacentral:rRNA from 1 species